ACACCCUCAAGCUCUGCUUGGUGUUGGGCGUCUGUCCCGCUUCCCCGCGUGGACUCGCCCCAAAGUUAUUGGCAGCGGUCGUGCCAGCUUCUCGUGCAGCACAUUGCGCUUCUUGAAGCCCUGGUGGACCAGCGUCCAGCAAGCCUUUUUUCAUA
rnacentral:misc_RNA from 1 species